CUCCUCGCCGCUGCCGCUGCUGCCCAUGGCCGGGACACGCUGGGUGCUGGGCGCGCUGUUGCGGGGCUGCGGCUGUAGCUGCAGCAGCUGCCGGCGGACGGGGGCGGCCUGCCUCCCGCUGCGCCCCGUCGCCGCUGCAGCCGCCGCCGCCGCAGUGUCCGGGCGCCGCCGGCUCCUGCUGCUGCUGGGGGCGUCCGCGGCGGCGCAGAGCCGCGGCCUGCAAGUGGCGGCGGCUGCCGGGAGCCUGCGCCGCCCGCCCGGGCCCGGCUUCGCCCUGCGCGGCCCGCUGCUGCCCCCGGCGCUCGCGGGGGCUCGCGGCUACAGCAGCGAGGAUAAAAACUCUCAGUUUGAAGGUGAAUAUCCUGUGCUCGCUGAAUAUGAAUCAGAUUCACCAAAGGCCGGAGAAGAGGAGGACCUGUUUCUCAUUCGAGCCCAAGGACUGCCAUACUCUUGUACUGUGGAAGAUGUGGUUGACUUUUUUGCUGGCUGCCAAAUUCGAAACGGUGAGAGCGGCAUACACUUCCUUUUGAACAGCAGUGGCAGACGCAGGGGGGAUGCUGUGAUUGAACUAGAGUCGGAAGAGGAUGUGCAGAAAGCCUUAGAAAAGCAUCACAGCUAUAUGGGUCAGCGAUAUGUGGAAGUUUUUGAAAUACGUGAUGAAGAUGUAGAUGCUGUAUUGAAGAGACUGCUGUCCGUUCCACCUUCUGUUAAAGAUGGAGUUGUACGUCUCCGAGGCCUUCCAUACAGUUGCACUGAAGUAGACAUUGAAGAGUUUUUUGCAGGUUUGAGUAUUGCUGAUAUAACAUUUGUUAUGGACCCAAGAGGAAAAAGAAAAACUGGAGAAGCCUUUGUGCAGUUUACUGCUCCAGAAAUGGCAAAGCAAGCCCUGUUAAAGCAUAAGGAGGAAAUUGGGCAUCGGUACAUUGAAAUAUUUCCCAGCAACAGGAGUGAAAUUCAAACCCAUAGUGGCUCUCCCUGGAGGAAGAAGAUGACCUCUUAUCCAGUCACUAAAUGGACAAAAGAAUCUGAAUUGGUCUUUGAAGAAAAUGAAUUGGGGAAGACUCAAAGACCACACACAACCUCUGAAAGUGAGGGAGAGAAUGAACCUUACAGAGGAGUAAGUGAAAAGCCUGAGGAUGCUUUGGAAAGUGGGAAUUCCUAUUCGUCACUGCAUUAUGUUCAUCUGAGAGGCCUGCCAUUCCAGGCUAGUGCCCAAGACAUUAUAAACUUUCUUGCUCCUCUGAAACCUGUAAAGAUUACCAUGGAAUAUAAUUCCAGCGGGAAGGCUACAGGAGAAGCAGAUGUUCACUUUAAGAGCCAUGGCGAUGCGGUUGCUGCUAUGGUCAAGGACAGGUCACACAUGCAGCAUAGAUAUAUUGAAUUGUUCCUGAAUUCAUAUCCAAACAAAAAUGCCCAGUGACAGUGGCACAACCCCAUGGUAGCAUUACUGCUAGCAACUGGGACCCUCCACCCUCACAAAGGGCUCCUCCAUUUCCCUAGGCAGCUUGCUUAAGAAAUGUGCUCCCUGCCUGAAGAGCUGUUGUGAGCAACCAUGUGAACAGGACUUCCAUCAAACCUUUCAGAAAAAACACAAGGUGUGCUGCUGGUUUAUGAAGUAAUAUUUACAGCCUGUCCAGCAACAGACAGAAAACAAAAUAACUGAGUAUAACCAACACUGGCUUCAUUUGCAAGUUCCUCACAGAGGACCAGAAUCCUGAUGUGGGACACUGAACCCACCCCACUAAUCCAAAGGGACCAGAACACAACUGAAAGAUAUCCCAACUGAGCUAGAAUUGAACAGAAUUCAUUAUUGUCUCCACCUGCUGGAGAGGAGAAACCCUACACUACCACCUGGAUUGGCAUGGCAGAAACUGGAAGUGCAAACAUUACUGUACAGACUUAUUUAAAAUGUAUUGAUGAAAUAAAAGCAUAACCCCAGCCACAUAA